UCUAGAUUUGUCGUAUAAAAGAAAAACAAAUAAAUCUAAUUAUUGAUCAUACAGUCCGUAUUAGAGUCUAUGUCUGUUUUAGAAAAUCUAAUUGGGUUGUGACUAAUGCCUCCAUCUAAAAGCAUAUUGAUUGCCUCCUCAGCCGUAGAAAGCACUAGAUAGGACGACUGUAGUUGCAACAAGGCCAAGCCAGCGAAUAGAUAAAUUCUCGAGGAAAAUAAUAAAAAAUCUAGAAUGAAAAUAUAUUGAAUCAUAGAAAAAGAAAUAAAAUGUUAAUGAAAAAAGAUUAUAGCUGUUAGAUCGUA
rnacentral:lncRNA from 1 species